UUCUGAAUCUGAGAUGGAACAUAUGGAUUCAUAUUUGGUCAUAGAUACUAAAUAUACUGAUUUGACCAAUAUCCGUUUCAACAAUUUCCAUAAAAAUGUAUGGAAAAAAAAAACAAUCAUUUUCUUCAUUCUUCUUCUAGUUUCUUCAUGUAAGUUUUCCAAAAAUUUGUCAUUUCGUUUUAGGCGUUAAAUAAUUAAUUAUAUAUGUAAAUAUUAAUCAAUACAUGUUUCUUUGACCUAAUUUAGCGUUUAUUUGCAAAUAUUCUUUUGAUCGAAGAUAGUCUUUUUUUGUAGACACAACGACCAGAUAAAAAUGAUGAAACUUAUGAAAAUUAAGCAAUAAAUUAAGACAAUAACAAAGAAAAUGAGUGUUACUAGUUACAUUUUGUUUUUCUUCCUCUUCACCUCCCACCUC
rnacentral:lncRNA from 1 species